rnacentral:rRNA from 1 species
UUCCUUGGGUUUCCCGGGUGCGCCGGCUGUCAGGCCCGUCCGUGGUGACACGCCCUGGGCUUACCUCCGGGACUUGCCCUUGCCACUGUUUUCCUCGCGUGUAGUCGCGGCCGGCGGCAUGACGUUGUGUCGCGGUGAAAUGCAUAGAUAUAACUCAGAACACCUAUUGCGUAGGCAGCUGUCUAUACUACAACUGACGCUGAGGCACGAAAGCGUGGGGAGCGAACAGGAUUAGAUACCCUGGUAGUCCACGCUGUAAACGAUGAUCACUCGUUGUUGGCUACUUAGUAGUCAGUGACCAAGGGAAACCGAUAAGUGAUCCACCUGGGGAGUACGUCGGCAACGAUGAAACUCAAAGGAAUUGACGGGGGCCCGCACAAGCGGAGGAACAUGUGGUUUAAUUCGAUGAUACGCGAGGAACCUUACCUGGGCUUAAAUGCUGGCUGCAUUGGAGGGAAACCUUCAUUUCCUACGGGACCGCCAGCAAGGUGCUGCAUGGUUGUCGUCAGCUCGUGCCGUGAGGUGUCGGGUUAAGUCCUAUAACGAGCGCAACCCCUAUCGCUAGUUGCCAGCAUGUAAUGGUGGGGACUCUAGCGAGACUGCCGGUGUAAACCGGAGGAAGGUGGGGAUGACGUCAAAUCAGCACGGCCCUUACGUCCAGGGCUACACACGUGUUACAAUGGCCGGUACAAAGAGCAGCCACCUGGCGACAGGGCGCUAAUCUCAAGAACCGGUCUCAGUUCGGAUCGAAGUCUGCAAUUCGACUUCGUGAAGGUGGAUUCGCUAGUAAUCGCGCAUCAGCCAUGGCGCGGUGAAUAAGUUCCCGGGCCUUGUACACACCGCCCGUCAAGCCAUGGAAGUCGGGGGUACCUGAAGUCCGUAACCGA